CGAGGACAGCAGCUCUCUUGUUUGGUCUCUGGCGACGGCGUACCGAUGACAAGAACCCGCAUACCGGUACGCAGUGCUGCGAACAGCAGAGUGAGUCUGCUGCAAAUAAAAGAAAGUGGAGGGUUUAUUUGUAAUUGUAACAGCCUAUAAAGAUCCCACACCCCCUCCUCUUUUGUUCACAGCCAAAGAAACACCCCCAACUCCAUUUCUCUCCCUUCCUCUC
rnacentral:lncRNA from 1 species